ACAGCUAUCCCUUUCUUCACAAGAGAUCGCAGAACGGGAUCUGCAACCUCCAGCACAGGCAGCGACACCUCGGGAGCAACGUCAAUUCAUUUUUUAGGCAAACGCCGCGGCAAAAGAAGAGCAAUACCAGGAGAGCCGGCCGCCAUCAUAGGAGAAGCAGACGCACCGAGACUGACGAGAUCGCAGCGGACUUGAUUCCUGAAUGUUUCAUUGUUUCAUCAAUGUAUUUACACUGAUCUGUUUGGUUUAUUGCACCUUUCAUUAUUAUACCUGUGUCAGCCCUGAAGUGGGCGGAGCUAUAUAUCAUGAUGUCAUUUCCUUCUUUUUUUCUUUUUUUCUUUUUUUCUGUUACUCCUCCUUUCCUCUGUGUAUAAAAGGGAUGUGAUAGGGGUGCAUUGUAUAGUCUGAUGAAAGCACGUGUUGUGCUGAAACGCGUCACUAUAUGCUUAUAAUAUGUGACUGAAUAAACGCAACAUUCAUCAUCA